UUGUUUCGGUUGGCUUAAAGAGUUUGAGUGGUCUUUAAAGUCUGAGUUGGUUGAUUUGUUAGUGGAUGUAGUAGGAUUGUGAUCAAAUAGGGAUUUUAUUUUUUUAUUUUUUAUUUUCCUGCCACUUUUUGUUUUGCUUUUUUUUCCAUUCUAUUCAAUCACUUGUUCAUUUUAAUCGUUGGGGCUCGGUGUUGCGAUUGUGCAUCUUUUAUCUUGGUAAAUUUG
rnacentral:lncRNA from 1 species